rnacentral:rRNA from 1 species
ACGCUGGCGGCGUGCCUAAUACAUGCAAGUAGAACGCUGAAGAGAGGAGCUUGCUCUUCUUGGAUGAGUUGCGAACGGGUGAGUAACGCGUAGGUAACCUGCCUUGUAGCGGGGGAUAACUAUUGGAAACGAUAGCUAAUACCGCAUAACAAUGGAUGACACAUGUCAUUUAUUUGAAAGGGGCAAUUGCUCCACUACAAGAUGGACCUGCGUUGUAUUAGCUAGUAGGUGAGGUAAUGGCUCACCUAGGCGACGAUACAUAGCCGACCUGAGAGGGUGAUCGGCCACACUGGGACUGAGACACGGCCCAGACUCCUACGGGAGGCAGCAGUAGGGAAUCUUCGGCAAUGGGGGCAACCCUGACCGAGCAACGCCGCGUGAGUGAAGAAGGUUUUCGGAUCGUAAAGCUCUGUUGUAAGUCAAGAACGGGUGUGAGAGUGGAAAGUUCACACUGUGACGGUAGCUUACCAGAAAGGGACGGCUAACUACGUGCCAGCAGCCGCGGUAAUACGUAGGUCCCGAGCGUUGUCCGGAUUUAUUGGGCGUAAAGCGAGCGCAGGCGGUUUGAUAAGUCUGAAGUUAAAGGCUGUGGCUCAACCAUAGUUCGCUUUGGAAACUGUCAAACUUGAGUGCAGAAGGGGAGAGUGGAAUUCCAUGUGUAGCGGUGAAAUGCGUAGAUAUAUGGAGGAACACCGGUGGCGAAAGCGGCUCUCUGGUCUGUAACUGACGCUGAGGCUCGAAAGCGUGGGGAGCGAACAGGAUUAGAUACCCUGGUAGUCCACGCCGUAAACGAUGAGUGCUAGGUGUUGGAUCCUUUCCGGGAUUCAGUGCCGCAGCUAACGCAUUAAGCACUCCGCCUGGGGAGUACGACCGCAAGGUUGAAACUCAAAGGAAUUGACGGGGGCCCGCACAAGCGGUGGAGCAUGUGGUUUAAUUCGAAGCAACGCGAAGAACCUUACCAGGUCUUGACAUCCCGAUGCUAUUUCUAGAGAUAGAAAGUUACUUCGGUACAUCGGUGACAGGUGGUGCAUGGUUGUCGUCAGCUCGUGUCGUGAGAUGUUGGGUUAAGUCCCGCAACGAGCGCAACCCCUAUUGUUAGUUGCCAUCAUUCAGUUGGGCACUCUAGCGAGACUGCCGGUAAUAAACCGGAGGAAGGUGGGGAUGACGUCAAAUCAUCAUGCCCCUUAUGACCUGGGCUACACACGUGCUACAAUGGUUGGUACAACGAGUUGCGAGUCGGUGACGGCGAGCUAAUCUCUUAAAGCCAAUCUCAGUUCGGAUUGUAGGCUGCAACUCGCCUACAUGAAGUCGGAAUCGCUAGUAAUCGCGGAUCAGCACGCCGCGGUGAAUACGUUCCCGGGCCUUGUACACACCGCCCGUCACACCACGAGAGUUUGUAACACCCGAAGUCGGUGAGGUAACCUUUUGGAGCCAGCCGCCUAAGGUGGGACAGAUGAUUUGGGGG